rnacentral:rRNA from 1 species
GUCCACGCAGUAAACGAUGAAUACUAGCUGUAUGCGAUAUACUGUAUGUGGCACAGCGAAAGCGUUAAGUAUUCCACCUGGGGAGUACGUUCGCAAGAAUGAAACUCAAAGGAAUUGACGGGGGCCCGCACAAGCGGAGGAACAUGUGGUUUAAUUCGAUGAUACGCGAGGAACCUUACCCGGGCUUGAAAUGCAUCUGACCGGUCUGGAAACAGACUUUCUAGCAAUAGCAGAUGUGUAGGUGCUGCAUGGUUGUCGU